GUUUCCGUAGUGUAGCGGUUAUCACGUUCGCCUCACACGCGAAAGGUCCCCGGUUCAAUCCCGGGCGGAAACA